CACCACUAAGAAGAGUCUGGAUCCAUCAUCUUUACACCCUCCCCUCAGUGACUAAGCAUCUAAUUUGAAUCAACUGUGGGAGAAGAGAGGAUUGAAGAAGUCAGCAGAAGGCAGAGAGAGUGAGUGCCCUCCUUCACAAGCAGUCGUCACCUUAAAAGCCAAUGCACGGAAGAGGUAAAAAGCACUUUACAGCUCAAUCAGAAGUUCAGCUGUCAACUCUGUGGAGACUCUUCCUGCUUAUUAUACCUCCUUGGUGUUUUUCUUCUUUGACAGUAUCUAAAAGCCUCCUCUUUCUCUCUCU